rnacentral:lncRNA from 1 species
GUCUUGCAUGGUCAGGGGACUUCCCGAGCUUGCAGGAACUAUGACCUGAACUGUGUGAAUGAGACAGGUCUGAAGCCCAACAGCCAGCUCACCUGAACCACCCUCUCCCGGGCCAGCCUGGCAUCUGAAGAAACCUCCCUCAGAGUAUUGGAAAGGUUGAUGACAGAAUUUUUCCAUGACUGUACAACCAAUAAAAGAAAAACAUGAGAUAGAAGAGCUUCUUAAUAACUUUGCCCAGCAAAUAGGAGCCGGGAGAUUCUGCCUCUAUUUUCUCUCCAGCACCAGGAAUGACUAUGUAAUGAUGUAUAGUUUAAUGGUUUUUGAGAAUAAAAAUAAAUGUGGUUGAUCAAUAAAAUGUGGCUUUGGGGUCCCAUCUUAGGAUAAGAUAGAAAUCCAUGGCUGUCUGCCCAAACUCCUUUUGGCUCACCAUAAAACCUUACCUUACUUAAUAAGGAAUGUUAUUGUUGACAUAGGACAUCAGGAUUGGCCCAUAUUCUAC